rnacentral:tRNA from 1 species
UAAAAGAUAAGCUAAAUAAGCUAGUGGGCUCAUACCUCACUUAUGACUAUGUCUCUUUUAA